AUUGAACGCUGGCGGCAUGCUUUACACAUGCAAGUCGAACGGUAACAGGUCUUCGGAUGCUGACGAGUGGCGAACGGGUGCGUAAUACAUCGGAACGUGCCUAGUAGUGGUGGAUAACUACUCGAAAGAGUAGCUAAUACCGCCUGAGAUCUACGGAUGAAAGCAGGGGACCUUCGGGCCUUGUGCUACUAUAGCGGCUGAUGGCAGAUUAGGUAGUUGGUGGGGUAAAGGCUUACCAAGCCUGCGAUCUGUAGCUGGUCUGAGAGGACGACCAGCCACACUGGGACUGAGACACGGCCCAGACUCCUACGGGAGGCAGCAGUGGGGAAUAUUGGACAAUGGGCGAAAGCCUGAUCCAGCAAUGCCGCGUGCAGGAUGAAGGCCCUCGGGUUGUAAACUGCUUUUGUACGGAAAGAAAAGCAGGGGGCUAAUAUCCCCGGGUCCUGACGGUACCGUAAGAAUAAGCACCGGCUAACUACGUG
rnacentral:rRNA from 1 species